rnacentral:misc_RNA from 1 species
AGUCGUAACAAGGUAUCCGUAGGUGAACCUGCGGAUGGAUCAUUAACAAAGGUGUUUUUGAAGUUGUGUGAACAGUUGGAGGUGGUGGUGGUGGUAUUGGGUGGUACUGGGUGGUAUUGGGUGGUAUUGGGUGGUAUUGAGUGGUAUUGGGUGGUAUUGAGUGGUGUAACCUUGGUCUAACCUUGGUCAACCUCACUCAACCUCACUCAACCUCACUCUCCCAACCUCACUCUCCCAACCUCCACCACUCCGUCCCUAUAAUGUAUACAAACUGAUGUCUGCUAGUUUCAAACUAAAACAACUUUUAGCAACGGAUCUCUUGGCUCUC